rnacentral:snRNA from 1 species
GAAACUGCCUGCCUGCUGCUAUGUUUUGCACAUGGAGUGGGGUGGCUGCGGCCUUACCCUGCCUCGUGCGGAAUCGACAUCAGGAGAUUUCGGAAGCACAAUUUUUACUGCAGCGCUGAGCAAAAAAACAGGUAGCAUUUUGGAGCCAGUGG